UUUAAAGAUUCAUACAAGGUCUUUCGUAAAGGACAGCCCAAAGCGCUAGGGACUGUACAGAUAGUCAUAGGGCUGCUUAUUAUCACUCUCGGUUUGGUGCAGUUGCAGAAAUUCCCGGAAAUCUCGAUCUAUACAAUGCCCAGCGUUCUGUUUGUAGCUUCUGGCAUAGUAUCAUAUGCCGCUGGACACUCGCCAAAUAUGUGCGUGACCAGAACUUCAUUCACACUGAACAUCAUCAGCUUAUUCUGUGCUCUGACUGCUCUGUGUUUGUGCAUUGUACUUAUUAUUUCGCGAUAUUCACCAUAUCCACCAUAUCAACCACAUUAUUCUCAUACUGACAAAGGGAUCGAUGUGAUUAUUGCGAUUCAGCUCUCGCUGCAGCUGGUUGUGGCGACAGUUUUAAUUUACUGGGAGAGUAAAGCAGUAUGCAGGACUGACUUCAAUACCUUGCCUUUGAUCAACUUAAAGUACGUCUGAAUCCAAAAGUGGCUGGAUUUUUGUCCUGGAAAGUUUUGUCUGUGGGACAGUGGACAUCCUCUGAAGGUUUUGGUCUGUUUCUCAUCCUGAUGGCUUCUACAAGGCGGAAUUAAGACCUUAAUUCAGGAAUAGAGAAGUGUUCUGAAAAUAGAUUAUUAGUCCGUCACACAGGAAGGUUAUAACUCUCACGAUGCUGAAAAACAAAAAUUUGCCGUAUUAAUUUUUUACUGAAAUGUCGCAACAAGAACAACAGGCUUGAAGUUCCCAUUUCAGGAAAUUAUAGUUUUAAAAAACAUUUCAAUGUAUAUUAAUAAAUAUUUGCAGGCCAAAUAAGUAUGCUUUUGCAGGGAAAACUCAGAAUAUUUACAUAUAUUUUCAUCUUUAAUUUUGUAUCCUAUGUGACCGACAGAUUGUUCUGUAUUGAUAAUGUGCACUAUGAUGUCAACAAUACCUUUUUAAAAAUAAAAGUGGUGAUUAUUAUCAUUUCCUCUUUAAUUAAUGCUCUCUGGUCCUCAUUGUAUAUAUAUGAAAUAUUUUUAGGGUUUUUUUGUUUAGAUUGAAAAAAUGUUUGCAUGAUUGAUUUCAUUUUCACCAUGUGUUACAUUUUUAUUAUUCUUUGCCGAAAAUAAUGGGGUUAUUCAGAAAGAUUUUAUACAUUCUGGUACAAUGCAUAAUCAAAAUGUGAGUCAAAUAAAGCAAUCAGUCUA